rnacentral:rRNA from 1 species
UACGUAGGGGGCGAGCGUUGUCCGGAUUUAUUGGGCGUAAAGAGCUCGUAGGCGGUUCCGUAAGUCGAGUGUGAAAAAUCUGGGCUCAACCCAGUGGAGCACUCGAUACUGCGGUGACUGGAGUACGGUAGAGGAGUGUGGAAUUCCCGGUGUAGCGGUGAAAUGCGCAGAUAUCGGGAGGAACACCAAUGGCGAAGGCAGCUCGCUGGGACGGUACUGACGCUGAGACGCGAAAGCGUGGGGAGCAAACAGG